GUGACCUCCCGGGAAGUCCUC
rnacentral:snRNA from 1 species